rnacentral:lncRNA from 10 species
UAAUCUCUACUCAUAAAACAUGGAUUCCAUAUCCCUUUUAGAACCAUUUUUAUGUGAUUCAAGCCAAUCCAGAGCAUAACAACACUAGAAGAUAUAAUAGCAGUAAGAUAAACUGCCUCUUUAGCUAUUUCCAAAUUCAUGGUCUCAAUUAAGCCUUUUUCACAUGUGCUGGCCCUUGUAAUUCCUGAUGUACUUUUCCUAAUUCCAAAUGUCUGGUAACAAUUUAUGAUGUAUAAUUAAAUGGGCUACCCUCCUUUUAUCACGCCUUCUAGAUAUAGUCCCAUCACAUGAAACAAAGCGAAGCAAAACACUUCUUUGAUUUAAUGUUGACAGUCUCACAUUCUCAUUCUUAUUAAGCUAAUAACAUUUAAAGAUGAUACUGAGGCUCUUUAAUAAUCCAGCAAGAAGAAAAAUACAAUUAGGCAAUGAUAUGGUUUGGCUGUGCCCCCAUUCAAAUCUUGUCUUGAAUUCCCAAGUGGGAAGGGAACCUGUGGAACUUGUGGGAGGGACCUGGUGAGAGGUAAUUGAAUCAUGGGGGCAAGUCUUUCCUGUGCUGUUUUCGUGAUACUGAAUAAGUCUCACGAGAUCUGAUGGAUUUAAAAAGAGGAGUUCCCCUGCAUAAGCUCUCUUUGCCUGCUGCCAUCCAUGUAAGACAUGACUUGUUCUUCCUUGCCUUCCACCAUAAUUGUGAGGCUUCCCCAGCCAUGUGGAACUGGAGCUGACAUCAUCAGCGGUGGUUUGCUGUGAUUCCUUCAGCCUUCUGACCUCUGAAAGCCAGACCUUUGCUCCCACAGAUCAACCCAUAAUUUUGUAAGUAUUUGUAUUAUUUUACUGCAUUUAAGAUGCCAUCAAUUCUGUCAAGAAAGAAUAAAAUGCUACCAAUAAGAUUACAAUUUUUUAUCUUUAAGAUUUUAAUUCUAUACUUAAAAGGCUCUUUUAGACCUACUUAGACAAGUUUUCAAAAGUAAAUAUCACAAUUUUACAUGCAUAUAAAUGCAAAUAUGAGCACAAUACAUGUGUUAUUUCACAUGUAGAAUUUUGCUCUUGUGAAUCUUUUUUUUUUCCAGUUAGAGACAUCAGUAUCUAUAUUUUCCCACUCUUCAGGAGGCACCAGGAGCAUUGGUGAAGGAUUAUUUCUUUAAAGAGUGCUCCACCAUUAACUCUUGCCUUUUCUUCCAAGCUGCUAACAGCUAUUCUGAAAGUUUUGCUGGUGUUAUCUUGAUUUUAUCCGUCUUCAAAGAAUUCUUAAAUGGUUUGUUGAUUCAAAAUGUGAGAAUUUGCAAUGGUUUAGAUAAACCAAUGGGAAUGAUUCUGUACUUCUCAAUGAACUUGUUCUUUCCCCAUCUUAAUACAUGUUCCUGUAAAGCACCAAGAACGAACCUGAUUAGUGGUUGUGUAGGGCUCCUGGAUAUCUAUUCUGGAAGAUUUUCUGUCAGCUCAGUGGCAAUCCAUCUGUCAGUUUUGAGCAUAUCUUUGGGGAAAGAUCUCAUUUUUGGGUAUCAUUUUGUAAAUACCUGAAAUUAAAUAUAAAAUGCAUAGAAUGUACAACACCCAGAGUGAAGCUAAUCUAAAUUGUGGGUGAUAGUGAUGUGUCAAUGUUGGUUUAUUGAUUGUCAUAAUGACACUACUGGUGCAGGAUAUUGUUGAUGGAUAAGAUUGUGUGUUGUGGGGGAAGGGAGCUCUGCUUUGUGUUCAGUUUUGCUGUGAACCUAAAAUUGCUCUAGAAGAUAAAGUCUAUUAAAAAUUAAAUAUAACAACACUGUUAUUGUCAAUUAUGCAUAGCGUUGUAUGUAUAGGCUGGUUUUAUUUAUUUAUUUAUUUAUUUUGACGGAGUCUCGCUCUGUCGCCCUGGCUGGAGUGCAGUGGAAUGAUCUCGGCUCACUGCAAGCUCCACCUCCUGGGUUCACACCAUUCUCCUGCCUCAGCCUCCCGAGUAGCUGCGACUACAGGCACCUGCCAUCAUGCCAGCUAAUUUUUUUGUAUUUUUAGUAGAGACCAGGUUUCACCAUGUUAGCCAGGAUGAUCUCCAUCUCCUGACUUUGUGAUCCGCCUGCCUUGGUCUCCCAAAGUGCUGGGAUUACAAGAGUAAGCCACUGCGCCCGGCUGUAUAGACUGUUUUUUGUAAUCUGUGUCAUGAUCUUGAUCUCUUCAGCAUUGGUAGUAUAAGCACUGGGGUUUCUUUAGCAUCCUAUAUUUGACCAAACAAACUGCUGUAUUAUUUUUCUUAGUUGAAUCAUAUGUUGCUGCAAAUUAACUAACUUCUGUUUAUGGUGAGUAAAAAGUUUCUGACAAAUUGAUACUUAGGGCCUGGAUGACAGCAUGAAUUAAUCACACAAGCUUCUUUUUCAUCUCUUCUGGUUAAUUUGAUAAUUUUCCCUGCCUUCAUUUCCCUCCUUAAUUCAACUGAAAGCACAGUCUGAGACAAAGAUGUGAAUACGUAUUUAGGACGUGAUCACUGGAAGCAGUGACCCUCUAGGGGGAUUAACUUCAUCCCUGGGGGCAUUUACUGUCCCCCACCCACCACUUCUAGGCUCUUUGAGGUAGAAAAGCAAAGCAAAGAUGACCUUAGUUUUUGAGUACAAAGAACAGUGAUGAAGAGAAAAAGAUGGCACUGGAAAGCACUAUGCUGGUAUUGUUCUUUUUCCAUGUUACUUGCCAGAUCAAAAUGUAUAAAGUUGAGACAGCAUGAUUUUACAGCGUAUGCUUUCCCAUCCCAUAUGCAUUUGUGCCUCUUUAACAACUGCUUGGGUUGAAUGCUUUCUGUCUAUCUUAAAUGUAUCUACUCUACAUUCUCUGAUUCACUCCAAACCCCUACCAGCCCAUAGUAAGCUAUUUUUUAUUUUUUUUGAGACCGAGUCUCGCUCUGUCAUCUAGGCUGGAGUGCAGUGGUGUGAUCUUGGCUCACUGUAACCUCUGCCUUCCAGGUUCCAGCACUUCUCCUGGCUCAGCCUCCCAAGUAGCUGGGAUUACAGGCCAGCACCAGCAUGCUCGGCUAAUUUUUGUAUUUUUAGUAGAGACAGGGUUUCACCAUGUUGGUCAGGCUUGUCUCAAACUCUUGACCUCAAGUGAUCCGCCCUCCUCGGCCUCCCAAAGUGCUGAGAUUACAGGUGUGAGCCACCACACCUGGCCAGCCUAUAGUAAGUUAUUAAUAAUUUGGCAGUCUCAUGUGGAAGUCAGCCCCUAGUGAGUCUGGUUAACAUGCACUUAUUUGGAAGAGACUGUUACUCCAGAUGACAUUUCUGCACAUCAGUUCUGGACUGUGGUCACUCCACCUAGGUGUUGCCAUCCCAGGAGGCCCUGCUGAAGCAGUCUGCCAGAAUCAGCCCUAUUCUUACUAUGUCCAAGAUGUGUUAGGUGCUAUGGGGAAUUAAAAAAAGUCUGCGUGAUAAUGACCAGUUUCCAGGAGUUUAGAAGCAUGCUUGGGAAUAAAUCUGCAUGAGGCAGUUUACUAAAGACAGCAACUCAAACUCUGGGAGCAAUUGAGAGAGAGGAGAGCAUAGGCAGACCGGAACCUUUUGGAAAAGUCCCACGAAGAGGCCAGGUCUGAGCAUGCCCUGAAGAAUGGAUAGAAUUUGAAUUAAGCGAGUCGUGUUGAUAAGACACUUUUUGGAGGCUGAGACUUUCAAGAAAAUGUCAUUUUAAAAUAUGAUAUUAUUCCUUUUUGAUAACGAAACUGUCCAGUAAGUUUGUUGAAACCUGUAGGUACCAAUGCUAUGUUUGCUUAGUAAGAGGGUGACUGACAUUUAGCAAUGUCCUUGGACAGGCUUGGUGGGGUAUUUGGACAUGGGGAGCUCAAUUUCUGAAUGCUUGGCUGAAUGCUUCGGAUAAAGUCUCCAGAUACAGAGGACUCUAUAAAGGAGAAAAACCUGGUGGCUCACUCCCUGGGGCAGCUGGAUGUACUAUGGUCUAUGCAUUCUGGUCCAAGCCAUUGUGUCGCGUGUUUGGGAACUUGUUUCGGAAAUUGCUGUCCUUGCCCUGUUGGAUAAGGCUGACCAGCUUUCUUGGGUGGACCUGCACUCAGUGGAGCCAUGACCCCUCUUCUUCAUCAUUAAGAGAGAGCUGUAACCGUUUUUUUUUGUUUUUUUGUUUUUCCUUGGGCUAUGGUGGAUGGAGUUAAGGGUCUAACGGUGUUUGGGAGGGGCAUUAAAACUUCUCUUUGUUUACUUAUCCCUUGUGAGUCUAUGUUGUCUGUAAUUUCCUACUUGUUAGAGGGAAAACAGUUUACUAUUUUCUUUUUUUUUUUUUUCCUUUGAGACGGAGUCUCACUCUGUCGCCCAGGCUGGAGUGCAGUGGCGCGAUCUCGGCUC